rnacentral:lncRNA from 1 species
AGAGAAGUAUUGUUACUAAAAAUAUAAAUAAUAGAAGAGGAAAGUCCUAAAAACCCCCAGACUCAUUGGAAAGGUGAACUCGCAGCGGAAAUUGGUGAGUCCCAAACUGGGUUCUCCCAGGUCCCUUCGUGUUUUAACCAAAUUUUGGGGAUUUAUUCCUAUUCCUUGGCCUAAUUAAAAAAUAAAAAAUAAAAAGAACAGGAGCAAUAUUAUUUUUUAACAAUAAUUACCAUUAAAAAUACCUGAGCCUGGGGGAACUGGGGCUGGGACGAAGCCGGAGUUCCUGAUCCACCCAGUCAGAAUCCUGCUCCAGGCCCCUCUCUUUUGCCCAAAAUCCCAACAUUUCACCCCAGAAUUCCCUGCUCCAGCCCCCUGGCCCGGUUUUUCCCGCAGCCAAGGGGCAGGAGGGGUUGAAUUCCCAAGGAAUCCCUGGGAAAUCCCAGGUUUACUCUCCUCUUCCCUCCCUGCCUCUCCCAGAGCACCUGACGGCCACGCUCGGUGAGUCCCCCCUUAAUUCCACUCUUUUCCCCCCUUAAUUCCCUCUCUUUUUCCCCCAUUAAUUCCCUCUCUUUUUCCCCCAUUAAUUCCACCUUUUUACCCCCUUAAUUCCACCUUUUCCCCCAUUAAUUUCACCUUUUCCCCCCCUUAAUUCCACCUUUUAACCCCUCUCUAUUUCCCCCUUGUUCCCCACUUAUUUCCCCCCUUUUUUUCCCCUUUUCCUGAUUUCCUUUCCCUUUUUUCUCCCUGCCCUUCCCAGAGGAGCGGGACAGGAGGAUCAGUGAGUGCCUUUUCCCUUUUCACGGGUUUUUCAUUAAUUUUGGGAUCCCUGGGAGGUUUUGGGGUCGCACCAACCUGAGGAAUUUGGGAUUUUGGGUUCCCUUUUUUCCCUGUUCCCAUCGGUGGAUCCAGACCUGGAAAAGCUCCAAAUAAUUUGAAUUUUCUUUUUUUUUUUUUUGGUUUCAGGCAAACUGACCUCGGACCUGGGUGAAUCCAACGCCAAACUCAGUUAGUUCAAGGCAAAAUCCUCACUUUAAAGGAAAUUUGGGGGAAAUGUCUCCAUUCCUGGCCCCACGGAGCCGCCGCAGAAUGGAAGGAAUUAUUUCAUAAUUCUCAUUUUCCUGCGUUUUUCCCCCUUUCCUCCUCCUCUUCCCAGAGGAACGCGAGCGGAAGAUCACCAAACUUGCUGCUGAAAUCCGUGAGUCCUGCUCCUCGUUUUCCACCUCACCUGAUGAUUUUGGGCCCAAAGCCUUCAGUUUUGGGUCAAUUCAGUGGCUUUUCCUGGAUUAAUCCCUGUUUUUCCUCGUCCCACAGGAAGAUUCACGGCGCUGCUGGCCGAGCGCGACUCCGGGCUCCGGAAGCUCCAAGCAGAGCUCGGUGAGCCAUGAGGAAAAGUGGGGAAACGAGCCACAACAGCGAUUUUUAUC